CUGCAGGCUGCAACUCGCCUGCACGAAGCCGGAGUUGCUAGUAAUCGCGGAUCAGAAUGCCGCGGUGAAUGCGUUCCCGGGUCUUGUACACACCGCCCGUCACACCAUGGAAGUUGGGGGUGCCCAAAGCCGGCAGGGAAAUAUGCUGUCUAAGGCAAAACCAAUGACUGGGGUGAAGUCGUAACAAGGUACC
rnacentral:rRNA from 1 species